UACGUAGGGGGCAAGCGUUGUCCGGAAUUAUUGGGCGUAAAGAGCGUGUAGGCGGCCAGAUAAGUCCGCUGUGAAAUCUCGAGGCUCAACUUCGAGCUGUCGGUGGAAACUGUCUGGCUAGAGUCCGGAAGAGGAGAAUGGAAUUCCGCGUGUAGCAGUGAAAUGCGUAGAUAUGCGGAGGAACACCGAUGGCGAAGGCAAUCCCCUGGGCCUGCACUGACGCUCAUGCACGAAAGCGUGGGGAGCAAACAGG
rnacentral:rRNA from 1 species